UGGGGAAUAUUGGACAAUGGGCGAAAGCCUGAUCCAGCCAUGCCGCGUGUGUGAAGAAGGCCUUUUGGUUGUAAAGCACUUUAAGUGGGGAGGAAAAGCUUAUGGUUAAUACCCAUAAGCCCUGACGUUACCCACAGAAUAAGCACCGGCUAACUCUGUGCCAGCAGCCGCGGUAAUACAGAGGGUGCAAGCGUUAAUCGGAAUUACUGGGCGUAAAGCGCGCGUAGGUGGUUAUUUAAGUCAGAUGUGAAAGCCCCGGGCUCAACCUGGGAACUGCAUCUGAUACUGGCAAGCUUGAGUCUCGUAGAGGGGGGUAGAAUUCCAGGUGUAGCGGUGAAAUGCGUAGAGAUCUGGAGGAAUACCGGUGGCGAAGGCGGCCCCCUGGACGAAGACUGACGCUCAGGUGCGAAAGCGUGGGGAGCAAACAGGAUUAGAUACCCUGGUAGUCCACGCCGUAAACGAUGUCGACUUGGAGGUUGUGCCCUUGAGGCGUGGCUUCCGGAGCUAACGCGUUAAGUCGACCGCCUGGGGAGUACGGCCGCAAGGUUA
rnacentral:rRNA from 1 species